rnacentral:rRNA from 1 species
GACGAACGCUGGCGGCGUGCUUAACACAUGCAAGUCGAACGGAAAGGCCCUGCUUUUGUGGGGUGCUCGAGUGGCGAACGGGUGAGUAACACGUGAGUAACCUGCCCUUGACUUUGGGAUAACUUCAGGAAACUGGGGCUAAUACCGGAUAGGAGCUCCUGCUGCAUGGUGGGGGUUGGAAAGUUUCGGCGGUUGGGGAUGGACUCGCGGCUUAUCAGCUUGUUGGUGGGGUAGUGGCUUACCAAGGCUUUGACGGGUAGCCGGCCUGAGAGGGUGACCGGCCACAUUGGGACUGAGAUACGGCCCAGGCUCCUACGGGAGGCAGCAGUGGGGAAUAUUGCACAAUGGGCGGAAGCCUGAUGCAGCAACGCCGCGUGCGGGAUGACGGCCUUCGGGUUGUAAACCGCUUUCGCCUGUGACGAAGCGUAAGUGACGGUAAUGGGUAAAGAAGCACCGGCUAACUACGUG